CCUACGGGCGGCAGCAGUAAGGAAUCUUCCACAAUGGGCGAAAGCCUGAUGGAGCAACGCCGCGUGGGUGAAGACGGUCUUCGGAUCGUAAAACCCUGUUGUUAGAGAAGCAAAUGCGUCAGAGUAACUGUUCACGAUUCGACGGUAUCUAACCAGAACGCCACGGCUAACUACGGGCCAGCCGCCGCGGUGAUACGUAGGUGGCAAGCUUUAUCCGGAUUUAUUUGGCGGGAAGGGAACGCAGGCGGGCUUUUAAGUCUGAUGUGAAAGCCGUCGGCAUAAACGGAGUAGUGCAUUUGAAACUGGGAGACUUGAGUGAAGAAGAGGAGAGUGGAACUCGAGGUGUAGCGGUGAAAUGCGGAGAUAUAAGGAAGAACACCAGUGGCGAAGGCGGCUCUCUGGUCUGUAACUGACGCUGAGGUUCGAAAGCGUGGGUAGCAAACAGGAUUAGAUACCCGAGUAGUC
rnacentral:rRNA from 1 species